rnacentral:rRNA from 1 species
GGGUGCUCGAGUGGCGAACGGGUGAGUAACACGCGAGUAACCUGCCCUUGACUUUGGGAUAACUUCAGGAAACUGGGGCUAAUACCGGAUAGGAGCUCCUGCUGCAUGGUGGGGGUUGGAAAGUUUCGGCGGUUGGGGAUGGACUCGCGGCUUAUCAGCUUGUUGGUGGGGUAGUGGCUUACCAAGGCUUUGACGGGUAGCCGGCCUGAGAGGGUGACCGGCCACAUUGGGACUGAGAUACGGCCCAG